AUUGAACGCUGGCGGCAGGCCUAACACAUGCAAGUCGAACGGUAACAGGAAGAAGCUUGCUUCUUUGCUGACGAGUGGCGGACGGGUGAGUAAUGUCUGGGAAACUGCCUGAUGGAGGGGGAUAACUACUGGAAACGGUAGCUAAUACCGCAUAACGUCGCAAGACCAAAGAGGGGGACCUUCGGGCCUCUUGCCAUCGGAUGUGCCCAGAUGGGAUUAGCUUGUUGGUGGGGUAACGGCUCACCAAGGCGACGAUCCCUAGCUGGUCUGAGAGGAUGACCAGCCACACUGGAACUGAGACACGGUCCAGACUCCUACGGGAGGCAGCAGUGGGGAAUAUUGCACAGUGGGCGCAAGCCUGAUGCAGCCAUGCCGCGUGUAUGAAGAAGGCCUUCGGGUUGUAAAGUACUUUCAGCGGGGAGGAAGGGAGUAAAGUUAAUACCUUUGCUCAUUGACGUUACCCGCAGAAGAAGCACCGGCUAACUCCGUG
rnacentral:rRNA from 1 species